rnacentral:rRNA from 1 species
UAGGUUAACGAGGCGAACCGGGGGAACUGAAACAUCUAAGUACCCCGAGGAAAAGAAAUCAACCGAGAUUCCCCCAGUAGCGGCGAGCGAACGGGGAGCAGCCCAGAGUCUGAAUCAGCUUGUGUGUUAGUGGAACGGUCUGGAAAGUCCGACGGUACAGGGUGAUAGUCCCGUACACCAAAAUGCACAGGUUGUGAACUCGAAGAGUAGGGCGGGACACGUGGUAUCCUGUCUGAAUAUGGGGGGACCAUCCUCCAAGGCUAAAUACUCCUGACUGACCGAUAGUGAACCAGUACCGUGAGGGAAAGGCGAAAAGAACCCCGGCGAGGGGAGUGAAAAAGAACCUGAAACCGUGUACGUACAAGCAGUGGGAGCACCUUC